CCUACGGGAGGCAGCAGUGGGGGAUAUUGCACAAUGGGGGAAACCCUGAUGCAGCGACGCCGCGUGUGGGAAGACGGUCCUCUGGAUUGUAAACCACUGUCCCCAGGGACGAAGAUGACGGUACCUGGGGAGGCAGCUCCGGCUAACUACGUGCCAGCAGCCGCGGUCAUACGUAGGGAGCGAGCGUUGUCCGGAAUUACUGGGUGUAAAGGGAGCGUAGGCGGGACUGCAAGUUGGGUGUCAAAUCUACCGGCUCAACCGGUAGCCGCACUCAAAACUGCAGUUCUUGAGUGAAGUAGCGGCAGGCGGAAUUCCUAGUGUAGCGGUGAAAUGCGUAGAUAUUAGGAGGAACACCAGUGGCGAAGGCGGCCUGCUGGGCUUUGACCGACGCUGAGGCUCGAAAGUGUGGGGAGCAAACAGGAUUAGAUACCCGAGUAGUC
rnacentral:rRNA from 1 species